rfam:Hordeum vulgare subsp. vulgare, WGS project CAJW01000000 data, contig: morex_contig_63272
CAUGUACUCCCUCCGUCCCAAAAUUCUUGUCUUACAUUUGUCUAGUUAUGAAUCUAUCUAGUCACGUUUUAGUAUUUAGAUACAUUCAUUUCUAAACAAAUCUAAAACAAGAAUAUUGGGGCGGAGGGAGUAAGAC